rnacentral:rRNA from 1 species
GGGCCCGCACAAGCGGUGGAGCAUGUGGUUUAAUUCGACGCAACGCGCAGAACCUUACCAGCCCUUGACAUCCCGGUCGCGGACUCCAGAGAUGGAGUUCUUCAGUUCGGCUGGACCGGAGACAGGUGCUGCAUGGCUGUCGUCAGCUCGUGUCGUGAGAUGUUGGGUUAAGUCCCGCAACGAGCGCAACCCCCGUCCUUAGUUGCUACCAUUUAGUUGAGCACUCUAAGGAGACUGCCGGUGAUAAGCCGCGAGGAAGGUGGGGAUGACGUCAAGUCCUCAUGGCCCUUACGGGCUGGGCUACACACGUGCUACAAUGGCGGUGACAAUGGGACGCUAAGGGGCAACCCUUCGCAAAUCUCAAAAAGCCGUCUCAGUUCGGAUUGGGCUCUGCAACUCGAGCCCAUGAAGUUGGAAUCGCUAGUAAUCGUGGAUCAGCAUGCCACGGUGAAUACGUUCCCGGGCCUUGUACACACCGCCCGUCACACCAUGGGAGUUGGUUUUACCUGAAGACGGUGCGCUAACCGCAAGGAGGCAGCCGGCCACGGUAGGGUCAGCGACUGGGGUG